rnacentral:rRNA from 1 species
CGAAUGGCGUAACGACUUCCGCACUGUCUCGACCAGAGACUCAGUGAAAUUGAAUUAGGGGUGAAGAUGCCCUUUACCCGCGGCAAGACGAAAAGACCCUGUGAACCUUUACUGCAACUUGGCAGUGAAUACAGGCCUUGACUGUGUAGGAUAGGUGGGAGGCUAAGAAGCCGGAGCACAAGUUUCGGUGGAGCCGUCGUUGAAAUACCACCCUGUCGAGUCCCGUAUUCUAACCUGGGCCGGUGAAUCCUGGCCAGGGACACUGUCUGGUGGGCAGUUUGACUGGGGCGGUCGCCUCCGAAAAAGUAACGGAGGCGUGCGAAGGUUCCCUCAGGCUGGGCGGAAACCAGCCGUUGAGUAUAAAGGCAUAAGGGAGCUUAACUGCGAGACAAACAAGUCGAGCAGAUGCGAAAGCAGGCCUUAGUGAUCCGGUGGCUCCGUAUGGAAGGGCCAUCGCUCAUCGGAU